CAGGUGUACAGUCACUCAGGACGUUGCUAAAAAAAGACAACAGGAGUAUGAAAACUCCCAGCUCCAGAGUCUGCAGCACAUCUCUCUACUAGUGAGUGAGAUGAAUGCAAUAAAGAAAGAAAACGACAGACUGAGAGAGGAGCUGAAGGGCUUGAGGGAUCUAUCAAAUCAGCAGAAUGGUCAUUCAGAGGACGCAAUCACCCCAGAGGUCAAGAUGUCACCUGACACAGCAGUGGCUGCUUUGACUUUACUGGCCUCAGGGCUGAAGUCCAUCCAGCAUCCACCAGGGGACACCUCUGUACCGACAGCGACUGUCAAACGUGAAAUGGACAAUAGCCCAACUGACAUCCUGAAGAAAGCUUCUGAACACAAACGUAUGCAAACCUGGGGCAGGGCAUUUUCAUUUGAAUUGAAUAAGCCCAUGUUGCCCACCUCAAGAUGGGGCACAGAGCACAGUGCUGAAAGGAGAUCUUCCAGCGUGGACUUGAUUGAGCACAGACAUUCCCCUUUGUCUCCUUCUCUUCCAUCUCCUCUUAGUCUACUGAAGAACAAUCCUAUUUUUUCUUCUGUCACCUCUGAGGAUCGUAGCAACCGACAACAAAUCCACGCCCCCGUCCCCUUCCGGCCGCUUCCGAUCAAGACCGGUCUAGAUCAUCUGUCUAUCCCGUGGUCACUCUCAGAAUCAACUGACUGGGUAACAUUAGCAGCCCGCGGCUCUGGUGUUGGUAGCGGGAUAGCGCUUCACCCAAGCCAGACCCCAGUUCCCAGCUCAAACAUUUUGCAAUUCCCAAAACUGAUCUCAUCAAGCAGCGGCCUCCAGUCUCGCGCACAUGGCCCAACACCUAGCGGCCUGCGGUCCUGGUCCCGCAGAAACCUGUCAGAGCAUGCAGAGAGUAGAGAAAAGAGAGUGACAGAAGCCGUUACAGCGCCGCCCCAGUGGAAGGCCUCAGCAACGCAGUCAGAGAGGAUUUUUGGAGAGAAUCUGAGAAAGGAUGAAGAGGAAGCUCCGUUAGACCUGUCUGAGUCGGGACGUUCAAAAAGCAAAGAGAAAGAGAAAACACACUCACAGAGCGAUGCAUCUUCGACUUCAUCUUCCUCACCACCUGCUACACUUUCAUCGUCAUCUCAAUGCCCUUCAAGCCCUCAGAGUGACCAGCAGACAGCAGACAAUAACACACAGCAGGAGGAAGCACAGGAAACAUGUAAGGAGCAGAAAGAGGUAAAGGAAGGUGAAACAUUUCCAGCAGCUGAAACGUCUGUCAGCUCAGAGAAGAGGAAAAUCCCAGCACUAACCAUUUCCCUCCAGCCAGUUGUGGUUAUGGAGUCCCUUAAAACAAGAGGACAGGUGUCUGAUCCUGGAAGCAGACUGAUGGCGCAAGAGGAGAAGGAGAACAAUAACCUUGAAGCAAGCAGAAAAAGACCUGGACAGGAUACUGAUGCUCUUUCCCAGCGCUCACUAAAGGAGAGGAAAAUACGGCUGAGCAGGGGACAUCAAGGAACCCAUGCAGACUCAGAGCAAGGAUGAAGGCAACGGAUUUAACUAUGAUGUAUGAUCUGCUGUGGUUAUUCAGACAACCAUUUUGUUUUCACCCUUCACCACCAGUUUCCAAGUUCAAAUCGCUGGUGUUCGCUUUAGUUUUCCAGAAAAACCAACACUAGACUUCAGCCGCACGCACCUCUUAUCAACAUAAUUCUAGUGUAUCGAAUACAAUGCAUACUGCAGUGCAGACUGGAAUUAAAUAAGAUCUAUUUUUAUCGUGUUCAAGCUAUAUCAUUCAGACUGUAUGUGGAUGAAUUUGUACUGGAUUAAUUUGUUAUUUUAUUGUGUCGAUUUCCCAGAAAUCUUUAGCUCUACCAAAACAGGAAGCUUCACUUUAUUCACUUUAUUCUUCCUCUUUUAUGCCAUAUCAUGAGUUUUUAAUAAGCACAUAUAACAGGAGUACAUGCAAUUGCUUGCUGUCUUGUGUUGUUACCAUUCUGUCAUGUCAACACUCAGUUUGUGUUCAUUCUCUCUUCCGUGUAAGAGGUGUCGCAUCUCAUCUAUUUUUGUCUCUGAGCACUACAGCCUGCUUCUUGUAGAUGUGACAAAAUGAAAAACCCUCGGCUUCCCCUUUUGGUUUUUUUUGAGAUGUCAAGCAUAUAUUUUGUAAUAGUGAAUUUUCCACUUGCAGCUGUAAAAGCUUUCAGAGUGUAAAAGGAGGAAGGGUAAAACUGUGAAGAGAAAAAAAAGUAUUCUUUUUUAACUUUCUGUACCAUUGCGUCAAACUAGCUGUAAACCUUUGGUUUACACUAUUUGUAGAUAGUUUUAGAGAUAAUUUGGAGAUAUUAUCUUAUAACUAAAAUUCCUCACUUUUUAGACACUAGAAGAACAUAGCAACUACCUAACAACUAAUGUCUAUCUAAAUAAAUACAAAUAUAAGUGCAUUGCAUGAAAAGAUGGCUGUAGUCAUACUUUGUGAACUAUCACCUGUAAUUGGUUUAGGAUGUGGGGAACACCUACAUUGUUGCAGGAAGAGGGUAAAUAGUUUUCACUGUGAAGAACCUGAGAGCUUUGAUUCACUGGAACAAUUUAGAAUUGUCACUUGAAUAUGCCAAUAUCCACAACACUUAGCUUGUUACUUUUGUAUACUGAGCAAAGGUGUAUGAGUUUAAAGUUACAAAGGUAAAAAUCCAAAUAAAAACCCUUGGAUCAAGGUAUCAC
rnacentral:lncRNA from 1 species